rnacentral:rRNA from 1 species
CCAGCAGCUGCGGUAAUUCCGGCUCCAAUAGCGUAUAUUAAAGUUGUUGCAGUUAAAAAGCUCGUAGUUGGAUUUCUGGUAUAAUGCGCCUGGCCCGCUGCAUUUUGUAGCGAGUGCUGGUGCGCGUUUGCCAUCCUUCUAGAAAACGUUUCUACCCUUCGCUGGGCCGGAUUCGCGAUCUAGAUCUUUUACUUUGAAAAAAUUAGAGUGUUUAAAGCAGGCUUUUGCUAUGAAUACAUUAGCAUGGAAUAAUAAUCUAGGACUUCGGUUCUAUUUUGUUGGUUUCUAGUACUGAAGUAAUGAUUGAUAGGGAUAGUUGGGGGUGCUAGUAUUGGCCGGCCAGAGGUGAAAUUCUUGGAUUCGGUCAAGACUAACUUAUGCGAAAGCAUUCACCAAGGAUGUCUUCUUUAAUCAAGAACGAAAGU